rnacentral:misc_RNA from 1 species
CGCACAUUGCGCCCGCCAGUAUUCUGGCGGGCAUGCCUGUUCGAGCGUCAUUUCAACCCCUUAAGCCCUCGUUGCUUAGCGUUGGGAGCCUACAGCGAUGUAGCUCCUUAAAGUCAGUGGCGGGGUCGGCUCAACACUCCAGACGUAGUAGUAGAAUUUCUCUUCCACCUCGCCUGCGGUUUGGACCGGUCCCUCGCCGUAAAACACCCCACUUUCUCAAGGUUGACCUCGGAUCAGGUAGGAAUACCCGCUGAACUUAA